rnacentral:rRNA from 1 species
UACAGAGGGUGCAAGCGUUGUUCGGAAUUAUUGGGCGUAAAGGGCGCGUAGGCGGUUCGUUAAGUCAGUUGUGAAAGCCCGGAGCUCAACUCCGGAGAGUCGACUGAUACCGGCGGGCUAGAGUACGGAAGAGGUAGCUGGAAUUCCUGGUGGUAGCGGUGAAAUGCGCAGAUAUCAGGAGGAACACCAAUGGCGAAGGCAGCUCACUGGGACGGUAUUGACGCUGAGACGCGAAAGCGUGGGGAGCAAACAGG